AUGGCGUCCUCCAGCGGGAGCGGGAGCACGGGCUCGCUGUCGACGGCGGCGGCCAUGGCGAUGGCGGCCGCGUCGGGCACGGAGGAGGAGAUGCGGGCGCUCAUGGAGCAGCGCCGGGCCAAGCGGAUGCUCUCCAACCGGGAGUCGGCGCGCCGCUCGCGGAUGCGCAAGCAGCGCCACCUCGACGACCUCGCCGCGCAGGCGGCGCACCUGCGCCGCGAGAACGCGCACGUCGCCGCCGCGCUCGGCCUCACCGCGCGGGGCCUCCAGGCCGUCGACGCCGAGAACGCCGUCCUCCGCACCCAGGCCGCCGAGCUCGCCGCGCGCCUCCACUCGCUCAACGACAUCAUCGCCUGCAUGAGCGCCAGCAACAACACCGCCGCCGCCGUCGCGCUCACCGUCGCCGCAGCAGCCACCGCCACCACCACCGACCCAUUCCUCGGCGGCUUCGACGGCGCGUCGCUCGACGACUACCUCUUCAGAUCCUCCCCCGAGAUGUUCAUGUUCCCAGCCCUGCAAAGCUAG
rnacentral:rRNA from 1 species